rnacentral:rRNA from 1 species
GAGUUUGAUCCUGGCUCAGAUUGAACGCUGGCGGCAUGCCUUACACAUGCAAGUCGAACGGCAGCACGGGAGCUUGCUCCUGGUGGCGAGUGGCGAACGGGUGAGUAAUGCAUCGGAACGUAUCCUGGAGUGGGGGAUAACGUAGCGAAAGUUACGCUAGUACCGCAUAUUCUGUGAGCAGGAAAGCGGGGGACCUUCGGGCCUCGCGCUCUUGGAGCGGCCGAUGUCGGAUUAGCUAGUUGGUGAGGUAAAGGCUCACCAAGGCGACGAUCCGUAGCAGGUCUGAGAGGAUGAUCUGCCACACUGGAACUGAGACACGGUCCAGACUCCUACGGGAGGCAGCAGUGGGGAAUUUUGGACAAUGGGGGCAACCCUGAUCCAGCCAUGCCGCGUGAGUGAAGAAGGCC